rnacentral:rRNA from 1 species
UACGUAGGGAGCAAGCGUUGUCCGGAAUCAUUGGGCGUAAAGAGCGUGUAGGCGGUUCGAUAAGUCUGCUGUGAAAGUCCAAGGCUCAACCUUGGGAUGCCGGUGGAUACUGUCGAACUCGAGUCCGGAAGAGGAGUGUGGAAUUCCUGGUGUAGCGGUGAAAUGCGCAGAUAUCAGGAGGAACACCGAUGGCGAAGGCAGCACUCUGGGACGUGACUGACGCUGAGACGCGAAAGCGUGGGGAGCAAACAGG